CCUACGGGAGGCAGCAGUGGGGAAUAUUGCACAAUGGGGGAAACCCUGAUGCAGCGACGCCGCGUGAGUGAAGAAGUAACUCGUUAUGUAAAGCUCCAUCAGCAGGGAAGAAAAUGACGGUACCUGUGUAAGAAGCCCCGGCUAACUACGUGACAGCAGCCGCGGUAACACGUAGGGGGCAAGCGUUAUCCGGAUUUACUGGGUGUAAAGGGAGCGUAGGCGGCAGUGCAAGUCUGGAGUGAAAGGCGGGGGCUCAACCCCCGGACUGCUCUGGAAACUGGAAGGCUGGAGUGCAGGAGAGGUAAGUGGAAUUCCUGGUGUAGCGGUGAAAUGCGUAGAUAUUAGGAGGAACACCAGUGGCGAAGGCGGCUUACUGGACUGUAACUGACGUUGAGGCACGAAAGCGUGGGGAGCAAACAGGAUUAGAUACCCCUGUAGUC
rnacentral:rRNA from 1 species